AACAAUUUACUAGUCUAGCGGCAUUUAUCUAGCGGCAUUUAUGUUAAAUGUCACUAUAAUACGUCUUUAGGCGGCAUAUCUAGUGGCAUUUCUUAAAAAUGCCAGUAAAAGCCCAAAUUUUCUUUGGCGGUGUAUUAGCCCACUAGGCGCGGUGAUUUGGACCAAUUUAGUUUUAUCCGCGCUUCGAUUUUUUCCAACCCAAAGAAACCCUCACAUAACUCCAAAAACAGAACUCAAACCCUCGCCUCCAACAUUUUCUCUCUCAUCUACAAUUCUCACUACUCAAAUAUUGAUGCAAUUCUCUACCAACAGCUUUGAAAUUCUUUAUUUUCAUUACAAAAUUGGAGAUUCUUGCUAAAAAUACAAGAAUUGAGGUGGAAUUUGACCCGGUGGCUGCAACGGUGGUGGCGGCAUCAAGGGUUUGAUUGGUUAGGCGUUAGUGCUUCUUCGAUCGAACGGCUGAUGAUACUCAGGGAGCUACUGGCAAUAUUGUGAACACUCGAACAAAUAUGAGUCCUCCAUCAAUAAGCCUAGAAGAACUAGAAGAUCAAAUGAUUGAUGGGAGUUUAGAGAAUUGUUAAAGGCAUUGUUGCUAGGUAGAAGAGUUCAUGAUUUCAGUACUUAGUACUUAGUGAACAGGUUAUUUUUUUUUAUCAAGUGGGGUGAACUUGUCUAUUAUUUGUGAAGCUUGAUGCUGAUUGUUGCUGGUUUUGGAAGUUGUGAAGAGCCUAAAUAGCCUUUGAAUUGUGAAGCUUAAUGCUGAUUUUUGCUGAUUUUGGAAGUUGUGAAGAGCCUAAAUAGCCUUUCAAAUGGGUAUUUGCAUCAUGUGUAGUUAGUUUUGAAGUAGUUCGAAGUAUGAAUUUGAAGUUCAACAACAAGAAAGAUGUAACAAGUUUUUGGUGGUACCUUGGAUGAUGAUGUAACAACAAUUAUUCAUAUCUAUUAAAUAUAUAAUGAUCUCCCUAAUAUUAUACAUUUGUGUAUUGUUGUGAUGGAAGUGAAAUAUGAAGAUUUAAAGUAUUCUAGAAGAAA